rnacentral:rRNA from 1 species
GUUAUAAUUAAAAUAACAAUAAAAGCAUUCGUUCUCGUCCGAUCACGAAAGUUAGGCAGCGCUAGGCACGGAUAGUACUUACAUGGGUACCAUUUGCGAACUCCGUGUGAUGUUGACC